GACGAACGCUGGCGGCGUGCUUAACACAUGCAAGUCGAACGAAGUGGCGAACGGGUGAGUAACGUGUAAUCAACCUGCCCCUCAGAGGGGGACAACAGUUGGAAACGACUGCCAAUACCGCAUACUGAAGGAGGGGAGUGCGUCUGACUAGCUAGUUGGGGGGGUAACGGCCACCUAGGCGAAGGACAGUAACCGGUCUGGCAGGGUGACCGACCAACUUGGGACUGGGACCCGGCCCAGACUCCUUCGGGGGGCCGCAGUGGGGGAUCUUCCGCAAUGGGCGGAAGUCUUACGGCACAACGCCGCGUGGGUGGUGACGGCCUUCGGGUUGUAAAGCUCUGUUAAUCGGGGCGCGGUACCGGAAUAGAAAGCCACGGCUAACUACGUGCCAGCCGCCGCGGUAAUAC
rnacentral:rRNA from 1 species